rnacentral:tRNA from 1 species
GAGGUGUAGCCAAGAUGGUAAGGCACAGUACUUUGACUCCUGCAUGUCGAUGGUUCGAGUCCCAUACACGUCGCCA